GACGAACGCUGGCGGCGCACCUAACACAUGCAAGUCGAACGGAGCUGAGAGAAGCUUGCUUUUCUUAGCUUAGUGGCGAACGGGUGAGUAACGCGUGAGUAACCUGCCCUGGAGUGGGGGACAACAGUUGGAAACGACUGCUAAUACCGCAUAAGCCCACGAUCCGGCAUCGGAUUGAGGGAAAAGGAUUUAUUCGCUUCAGGAUGGACUCGCGUCCAAUUAGCUAGUUGGUGAGGUAACGGCCCACCAAGGCGACGAUUGGUAGCCGGACUGAGAGGUUGAACGGCCACAUUGGGACUGAGACACGGCCCAGACUCCUACGGAAGGCAGCAGUGGGGGAUAUUGCACAAUGGGGGAAACCCUGAUGCAGCGACGCCGCGUGGAGGAAGAAGGUUUUCGGAUUGUAAACUCCUGUCGUUAGGGACGAUAAUGACGGUACCUAACAAGAAAGCACCGGCUAACUACGUG
rnacentral:rRNA from 1 species